rnacentral:misc_RNA from 1 species
GAUGAAGAACGUAGCAAAAUGCGUUAAGUAAUGUGAAUUGCAGAAUUCAGUGAAUCAUCGAAUCUUUGAACGCACAUUGCGCCCGCUAGUAUUCUGGCGGGCAUGCCUGUCCGAGCGUCAUUUCAACCCUCAAGCCCCCGGGCUUGGUGUUGGGGAUCGGCGAGCCUCCGCGCCCGCCGUCCCCUAAAUCUAGUGGCGGUCUCGCUGUAGCUUCCUCUGCGUAGUAGCACACCUCGCACUGGGAAACAGCGCGGCCACGCCGUUAAACCCCCAACUUCUGAACGUUUGACCUCGGAUCAGGUAGGAAUACCCGCUGAACUUAAGCAUAUCAAUAAGCGGAGGA